UUUCUUUUUUUUAGAAACCGAGGACGAUGCUCGAAAAGCUACAGAAAAACGAACAUCUAUCCCCCAGAGACCAGACAGCGACUCUUCUGAAAGCUGCAGUACCGAUGAAGUGGACGAUCCAUCGUUUGAAGAAGAAACACGACAUCAAGCUGCUGUUAAACGGAAAAAGAAGGCUAUUGACAAGCACUUCAAAAAAAAAAAAAAAAGAAUCGGGACCUCCUGUUUGGUGACGCCGACAAAGAAAAGACAGAGACAGAACGUCUCAAAGAAGAUGUCAGUAUGCUGAGGGCUCAAAAUGCCAAGCUAUUGGAGCGCAUCAGCAUACUUGAAAAGGCUCUUUGCAGCAAAAUUUUCCAAACAG
rnacentral:lncRNA from 1 species